CCUACGGGGGGCAGCAGUGAGGAAUAUUGGUCAAUGGACGCAAGUCUGAACCAGCCAUGCCGCGUGCAGGAAGACGGCUCUAUGAGUUGUAAACUGCUUUUGUACGAGGGUAAACGCAGAUACGCGUAUCUGUUUGAAAGUAUCGUACGAAUAAGGAUCGGCUAACUCCGUGCCAGCAGCCGCGGUAAUACGGAGGAUUCAAGCGUUAUCCGGAUUUAUUGGGUUUAAAGGGUGCGUAGGCGGUCGGAUAAGUUAGAGGUGAAAUCCCGAGGCUCAACCUCGGAAUUGCCUCUGAUACUGUUGGGCUUGAGAGUAGUUGCGGUAGGCGGAAUGUGUGGUGUAGCGGUGAAAUGCUUAGAGAUCAUGCAGAACCCCGAUUGCGAAGGCAGCUUACCAAGCUACUUCUGACGUUGAGGCACGAAAGCGUGGGGAGCAAACAGGAUUAGAUACCCGAGUAGUC
rnacentral:rRNA from 1 species